GCCCUACCGUCGGGCUACGAAGGGCUGAAGUACCGCCCCGAGAGGGCGCAGGACCCAUGACGUCACCUCUGCGCGCGACCCGAGGACGGAAGUUACUCUGCUCCACUUCCGCUCCACUUAGCCACUCCGGACGCCAGAGGCGGAAGUAAAAGCCAUAUACAGCGGAGACAGUUGUUCUCCAGCCUUUAUGGAGGGAUGCAGAGCCUUUCCUUAAGACAAACAAGGUUUUGACAAAACCUAAAGUAUGAAGUACUUUGCAGAAGACCUUUUUGGGUUGAAUCUAUUUGAGGAUAUUUGAGAUUCUUGUAUUUGGAUGUCUAUAUCUCUUCAAGACCUGCGUUGGCUGAGGGAGCAACUUUUGAAGUAAAUGACGAUGCGAGAUUUGGAAGAAUUCUAGAGGCAUGUGUUUUGGGAGCAGCAUGGAUGAGAAUCAGAGUGGAUCUGCAGACUGCAGCAUAUUACAACCCCCUCACUGGAGAGAUGAUGCAAACAAAGACAUGCAGGUGGACAUGGAAAAUCGGGUGGAUGGGCUGCAAGCUGCCUAGGCCAGAGGAAAUUUUGAAUGAACUCAGCUUUCAGUGACCAGGAGUGGAGACAUAAAAAGAGCUUUUCAGCCUCUCUGGUUACAGAGAUAAGUACAAAAGGGAGUUGUGAAAAGAAAUCUGGGAAUUUCAUCUUGCUUGGUGGAGUACUCUCAGCACAGCUGGCUCAUGGUCCUUCUGAGGUGACCAAGAAUGUGUGAGUAUAAGUGGUCAGUAGGAUGGCAGAGAACUGACUUCAGGCCUCCUUCUGAAGACAGUCAAUCUCCAAAGAACAUUACUGAAUGGAAGCAUAAUCUCUCCACACCUCAGCAAUAAGAGAUUGUGCCAGUCCGUGACACACAAAGUUGCAGAGUGCUCCUCCAAGCAUAGCACCAGCCCUCAGUGAUUUCUUACAGAUAUUUACUUUCACACAUGGCAUAUAGAACAUUAAAAGGGUUUUGAAAAAUCCCUCAGUUUUCAACUUCUGAAGGAUUAUUAACUUCAAAGUCUGAAGAAAUGUCGCCCUUCUAUCUUUGGAAAUGCCAGGAGCCUUUGCAUAUCCUUACCACAGGACCAAGCAACCCCCAGCAGAGAAGAACGAUUACUGCCUCGGUGGCAAGAGGAUGGCUUUUGAUCUCUUAACAUAUUGGAAAUUACUUAAAGUGCCUUGGUGAUUCAUACAAUUAUCUGGGAUCUUUUGAUUAACAGAGAAAAAGUCAUAAGAUCAGCAAAAAGAGAAACUAGAUUGUUGCCUCAACUCAACAUAUUAAGUAAUUACCUGACAUCUGCAUAAGACCACCUCUGGCACCUGGCUACACAAGCUAAAAUGGUUAAUUCACUAAUUACUUAGCACAGAACACAAAAGCCCUGUAAUUUCACCUCAGCGUUUCCAGUCUCAAUGGGCAGAUUUUGGCUGGCGCCCGAGAUCCAGGCCCUGUCUCCAACAGGCCCAAUGGCAAGGAAAACUCAUUAAGAAACCACACACGGAUGGAAUACUUGCUUAGAGACACAGGAGUAGCCUAGAACCUAAGAAUCUGUGCUUCCUUCUACAGUUGUCUUUGGAAGAACAAUAGACAUUCAAUGCAGACCAAAGAUCACUCUCUGAAGAUAAAGAAACCAGAGCUGCAUGAGGUUAAAAGACUUGAUCAAGGCCACAGAGCUAGGACACGGCAGAGCCAGGAUUUGAACUGCCACAUCUGGAUGAUUCUGAAGUCGACAUUCUUUGCAUGCCUUCAGAGUCGGUCUCAUGUGGAAGUGUUGUAUGAGAAAUCCACAUAGGAGGAACCCAGGAAAACCAUGCAGGGAAGCUCUGUUUGAGGUUGUUGCUAAAAAAAAUUCCCAGCCCUAGCUCACAAGAAACAGGAUAGAAAGAAUCUUCAAGUCACUGCCAAGGCCAAUUUCAGGAUGGAUAAAGAGAACAUUUUCCUGGUGUCAGUGCCUUGGAUCUUCUGCCACUGAAAAGGUCAUGGGCAAGGCUAGGUAGUUCUCAGGGUUGUGAAAAUCAAGCAAACUACUAGAAAUAAAUAUGUUUUAUAGAUUAUGAAACGUUUCACAAAUGCAAGGGAGUAUUUGUGUCAGAGGCUGGAGGGCCUAAGAUUCACCUCCCCUCCUUUCCAUGCUCUGAUUGAUAGAGAUAGCAGGCCAAAGGGAACCAGUAUAGAUCUUGCAAUGGGUAGAGAAAAUACCCACAUCCCUCAAAAUGCAGAGUCUACUAAUGUCUGGAUUAGAGGACACAGCUUGGAACUGAGGCCAGCAUUAAAUCUUUCUAAUACGCUCCUGAAUCCAAACCAUAUUAUCUCCCUUACAGGUUGACUCCAUCUGAGAAGCAGGCUCCAAAUUCAUUUAUCCGGCUAGCUGUGGGCCUGAGAGUGGAAAGGAGCUGACGAGCUGUGGUACCCAGGCUGCUCACAGCUACAACCAUGACUCAUGCACUACAGAAGCCCUGAUGAGUCAGCCUACUCUUUCUCCUACUGGGAGGAGGGAUGUAGAUGAGUGAAGAGAGAAGCCCCCAACAAUACCCAAGGGAAGGGAGGGCAGAAUGCUAAUGGAAAUGGGGUCAGCGGGGGUAAAUUUCUCUCUUUCUCAAUACUUCCUGUUUAGCGGGGACUAUGAUAUCAUAGUUUAAAUUUCCUGUGCAAAGCAAAGAAACUCAUAAUUAUUUUGGGUAACUGACUUCUCUGUUUCAUCCUGUUCUUUCAGUUACCCUCCUUAUAUUUGGUUCAGUGUGAGUAGUUAGGAACUGUGUUGUAAGCAAAAGCCCAAGUUCAGGAUCAAGGGUAAUAGAGGAGAUCAAGAAGCUCCUGAAGAAUGAGUUAAAUGCAAGUGAAGAAUGCAUUUCAACAAGUUAUUUUUUGGUGAGUUAUGCUUUCUCAAUACAUAUCUGUGUACAGUAACAAAAUAUACGUAGAGUUAUUUCAAAAUCUGAUUCUUGAAAUUCAUGUUAAAAAUAAUUUUGUUAUGGAUUUAAAUUUAAUAGCUGUAACCCCCUUUUCCUAU